UCGCCCUGACCCCCUGUCUCACGCCACUAACAAAACAAAGAAGGGCUCUGUGAGAAAGGACAUGCACUACAUAUUCUCAGGCUGUUCCCUUCCCGACUGUGUCAUACGCAGGCACAAUGCUUGUGUGGACGUCAGAGUUCCAGUCAGUCAGCAGCACAAAGGACACAGCCUCCUUCACAACAACCGAUGCCAGUGAGUGAUGCUCACAGUGAAUUGUCACUGUUCCCUCAGAACACAGAACUUCUCCCGGCUCUAAAAGCACAUAAACAGGCCUGCGACUGGGAUGCAGACCUACUCAUCAGCAGAGCUGGAGUAGGGCAGAUGGCUGUAAAGGUAACUGGCCACUGGUAACCAAAACUGAGAACUUCUGAACUUUUGUCUCAACAUGAGUUACUCAGCUGGUGUACCCACAAAAUAUUCGAACAUUUGAACUUUGUUUUCUGAACCUCUCAAGUUUUUUUGUACUGUUCCAAACUGUCGCACUCCAGAUCGGCAGAAGAUAUCCAGCGCAGUUCCACUGUUGUUCUUGGCGCAGGGCCAACCUGGCUGGCAACCAGAGGCUGCUCGAGCCACACGAUUCCUCACAGUGUUGACACAACAAUUGCCUCUUCCCCUUCUUUCCCAGCAUGAAAAUCCCAACCCAAGGCCUGGGCAAGCACAUGUGCUCCUUAACCUUAAGCCCUCCUCUAACACAAGAAUAACACAAAUGUGUGUGUGUGUGUGUGUGUCAGAGAGAGAGACUCUUCAACUCUCUAAGGGAGAUUUCUAUGUUCUCACUCAUCGAGAAAAAACAGGUUGAGUCAAUCCACUGUCACGGGUAUUCCCCAAACAUUUAAGUAGUUAUUUCAGUGUUGUAAAAGCAGGUUAUAAAAACAGGGUUUUGCCAGACAGUAAAGUGUGUGUUACAGGGUUAUAUCAUUAGCUAACAGUAUGCUCAUCUUCUGUGCUCAUCUGAUAUAUCCAAAACCACAUCUUCAUGGCCUGGGUCUUCCGGAAAACUGUUGUUGAAUAACCUGAACAUUACUGAAGUUUUGCCAUGAGCCCCAACCUUUAGCCAAUCAGAAGUUCAGAAGAGUUUCAGAGGUCAGGGAUUGGUGCUCAAGGAUGUCAGUUAGACACCAGAACUGAGGAUACUGGGUGGGGAGUGAAGAGAGAGGGACACGAGAAAAGAGAGGUUUCUUUUUUCAAAUCUUUGCCCAGCGCUAGUUUGAUAAGCAGGUUUUGCAUGUUAUGGUUCUAAUCCUGGUGGUGAUAAAACAAGGAUUAAUGUAUAUUUGCUGUGCAGUGCUGCCAACUUUCCAGGCCAUGUCAGAGCGAGAUGGGCUAAAAGCCCAGAGCUCAUGGGUGGAGAGCGCCUCCAAAACAACAACUACAGGCUUUAGGCGAGUCACAGCACUUCAGGGAAAUUGUGUCUCAUUUGGGAGCUGUCAUAUAUGAGGCUAGUGGCACCUAUGUUUGAGUUUGGGAAUGUUUGUCAAGGGACAUGUGGGAGUAUGAGCCAGACCCAGUGAGCCUGAAUAAGAUGGCUGCCCUGAACCAGCGCACACGACUCAUUUGAGCGUUUGUGAGCGAGUGAGUCAGGCAGGAUGUAAGUGCAAUCGCCAUGACCACACAUUGGGAUCACCUCCAACUCAACCGUGAGUCAAAACUUCACUUUGCCCGGGCUUUUUUUCCGUGUAGAUUAUACAACUUACAGACAUGUGGCCCCCUCCCGGUUAGAAUGACAGCAUGUGGAUGAUGACUCAUAAGAGCAGAGUGGGAGGGUUGAGUGAGGAACGGGGCAGGAUCCAAAAUAUCACCCCACUACAGAGAAUGAGGAACUAGGAUGGGGAUGGGGCUACCUGUCAUCCAACAGCAGACUUUCCCACCACCACAGCACUGGAUUCAUGCAGUUCGUGAGAAGGGCCUGUGAGUUUAUUGCAAGGGGAGAAUAUUUUACCAUUAUAGCCCUACAUUUUCCGCACUCACUCUCAGAGACAGUGGUUGUUCUUUGGGCCCGAGCAGCCAGAGGUCACUCUCUUGAGUAUGUCCUUGUACGAAAAUAAAAGAAGUCAAUUCAAAACAUUCAAGUGUCCAGAAAUCUUUCAGCGAACUUGGCUGCCUCUUCCUGCGGAGGACGACGGAUGAAUCCAGCCCCUGUGUUCCUGUUGGGUCUUUGUAGGUCCACUGGCUUCAUUCCAGCCAUAAGCGCAGCAAACCCGUCUGAUUUAAUUAGCCGGACCCUGGCAGGAAGCCUGUCUCAAUGCUCCUUUCUAAUUGGCUCUCUGUUGGUUUUGUUGCCAUCAACAAUAACCCCCUUUCACUGAGGACGGAGGCGUAAUCAGAGUGUGUCCUCUGUUACUCGACAAAUAUCAAUUAGCAGCUAUCUUUGGGCUCUAUCGCCAGUGCAGAUUUAUCUUAACAGUAUGCUUUCCUUCGUCAGAGGUAUUGAUAUCUGAUUUUUAAAUGGCUUUUGUUGAAAGCGAAGGACAAAACUAAGGGCAGGAGUUUAAAAAAAUGUGAACAUGCUGGUCUUUAAAUUACCUGGGUCAAUGAGAGAGAUCAGUGCCAAGCAUUUCUCCUGACAUGUGUACCUUCUGCUUCCAUGGAACCACUGGAUAAUUUUGUUAUUUUGUGAACAUGUACAAAUGUGUCAGUUUGGACAAGUAAUAUGAAAGGCUUUGUUGAGGGAGAAUGUAAUAUAUGAAAAGAUACUGUGUGGACAUUUCAAAAGACCUGGCUUGUUGAGAGUGAAAUAAAAAAGAUUACAAAAGCUCAAAUAGAACUCCAAAGUAGCUUUUAUUCUGAGAGAGUACAACUUAUCAGGCUUUCUGAGAAAAAAAGUUGCCAAAUUUGUCCACAAAUUCUCUUAACACAUGGACCCACCCGGGAAAAUUCUAGUACAGGGAAGUGUCACAAGGCCAUUCCAACAGGCCUAGGAAUCCAUGCAGGAUGUGCCCUAUAUCCAUGGAAACUUAUGACGAAACCAACACAAAAGCCCCUUUUGCCAUCUCUGUGCUUAGCUCUACGCUUAGUUCUAACAGGUACAUUAAGCUGGGCUUUUGAUAAGCUUGGAGUAUUUUCAUUAGUUCAGCACAGUUUGAAGUAAUCAAUUGUGAUGUAAUGUAGCUUCCUCCCCAUCACUUUAACAGUGAGAACUCGUGUAGUGAACACAUUUGACAUGUAGAGAUUUAUGACAUAUGAUACAAUAACCAAGCAAACACUUCAUUGUAAGUAAUAAAAGAGGUCUUAAAAUGAUGUGAAGUCAAGUCAUCUUCCUUAUAUUGGGCUUCCCGGAGCUACAUGAAAAAAAAGCACCAGCCCUUCCCCCAGCAUGACCUCAUAGGCUGCUGUGCGGCUAACAGCUACCGGUCUGAACUAGAUAGUUCCAGCCUCGGCAGCAUCGCGUUUGUUCCCCAGCUGCUUUUGUUCAGACUGAGCCAGCGCGAGCCAGUCAGCCAGGCAGUGUGAGCAGCGAGCCUCCCCCACACGCAACAGCACACGAACCGCAUCUCCACUCAACCCCCCUGCCUGCAACAAAGCCAGGAAAAAGACAUAGAGAAAGAGAAACACAUAACGGGCUCUGAGUCGAUGAAUUUAGGUGUUUUUUCUCAGAGAAGGAAAAAGAAAAACUGUAAAAAAAAAAAAAAGAACAAA